AGCAGCCGCGGUAAUUCCAGCUCCAAUAGCGUAUAUUAAAGUUGUUGCAGUUAAAAAGCCCGUAGUUGAAUUUCGGGAUCAAUAUGUCGGUCGUGCCUCGGUACGUACUGGCGUAAUUGGUUUCUCCCUUCUGAAGAACCUCGAUGUCAUUAAUUUGGUGUCGUGGGGAAUCAGGACUGUUACUUUGAAAAAAUUAGAGUGUUUAAAGCAGGACUCGCGCUUGAAUACAUUAGCAUGGAAUAAUGAAAUAGGACGUUUGAUUCUAUUUUGUUGGUUUCUAGGAUCGACGUAAUGAUUAAUAGGGAUAGUUGGGGGCAUUAGUAGUUCAAUUGUCAGAGGUGAAAUUCUUGGAUUUAUUGAAGACUAACUACUGCGAAAGCAUUUGCCAAGGAUGUUUCAUUAAUCUAAGAACGAAAGUUAGGGGAUCGAAGACGGAUCAGAUACCGUCGUAGUCUUAACCAUAAACUAUGCCGACUAGGGAUCGGAUGAUGUAAUUUUUAAUGACUCAUUUCGGCGCCUU
rnacentral:rRNA from 1 species